rnacentral:rRNA from 1 species
GACGAACGCUGGCGGCGUGCUUAACACAUGCAAGUCGAACGGAAAGGCCCUGCUUUUGUGGGGUGCUCGAGUGGCGAACGGGUGAGUAACACGUGAGUAACCUGCCCUUGACUUUGGGAUAACUUCAGGAAACUGGGGCUAAUACCGGAUAGGAGCUCCUGCUGCAUGGUGGGGGUUGGAAAGUUUCGGCGGUUGGGGAUGGACUCGCGGCUUAUCAGCUUGUUGGUGGGGUAGUGGCUUACCAAGGCUUUGACGGGUAGCCGGCCUGAGAGGGUGACCGGCAACAUUGGGACUGAGAUACGGCCCAGACUCCUACGGGAGGCAGCAGUGGGGAAUAUUGCACAAUGGGCGGAAGCCUGAUGCAGCAACGCCGCGUGCGGGAUGACGGCCUUCGGGUUGUAAACCGCUUUCGCCUGUGACAAAGCGUGAGUGACGGUAAUGGGUAAAGAAGCACCGGCUAACUACGUG